AGCAGCGUGGCUCAGUGGAAAGAGCCCGGGCUUGGGAGUCAGAGGUCACGGGUUCGAAUCCCGGCCCUGCCA
rfam:Ornithorhynchus anatinus chromosome 4, whole genome shotgun sequence.